rnacentral:rRNA from 1 species
CCACGGGUGGCUGCAGUGGGGAAUAUUGGACAAUGGGCGAAAGCCUGAUCCAGCCAUGCCGCGUGUGUGAAGAAGGCCUUCGGGUUGUAAAGCACUUUCAGUGGGGAAGAAAGCCUUGGGGCUAAUACCCUCGAGGAAGGACAUCACCCACAGAAGAAGCACCGGCUAACUCCGUGCCAGCAGCCGCGGUAAUACGGAGGGUGCGAGCGUUAAUCGGAAUUACUGGGCGUAAAGCGCGCGUAGGCGGUCUGAUAAGCCGGUUGUGAAAGCCCCGGGCUCAACCUGGGAACGGCAUCCGGAACUGUCAGGCUAGAGUGCAGGAGAGGAAGGUAGAAUUCCCGGUGUAGCGGUGAAAUGCGUAGAGAUCGGGAGGAAUACCAGUGGCGAAGGCGGCCUUCUGGACUGACACUGACGCUGAGGUGCGAAAGCGUGGGUAGCAAACAGGAUUAGAUACCCUGGUAGUC